rnacentral:rRNA from 1 species
UACGAAGGGGGCUAGCGUUGCUCGGAAUCACUGGGCGUAAAGCGCACGUAGGCGGAUCUUUAAGUCAGGGGUGAAAUCCCAAGGCUCAACCUUGGAACUGCCUUUGAUACUGGGGAUCUCGAGUCCGGAAGAGGUUGGUGGAACUCCUAGUGUAGAGGUGAAAUUCGUAGAUAUUCGGAAGAACACCAGUGGCGAAGGCGGCCAACUGGUCCGGCACUGACGCUGAGGUGCGAAAGCGUGGGGAGCAAACAGG